CGCAAAUUACCCAAUCCUGACUCAGGGAGGUAGUGACAAGAAAUAACAACACUGGAAAUUUUAUUUCUAGUGAUUGGAAUGAUGGGAAUCUAAACCCCUUUCAGAGUAACAAUUGGAGGGCAAGUCUGGUGCCAGCAGCCGCGGUAAUUCCAGCUCCAAUAGCGUAUAUUAAAGUUGUUGCAGUUAAAAAGCUCGUAGUUGGAUAUCUGCUGGAAGCAAUCAGUCCGCCCUAUUUAGGGUGUGCACUUGAUGAAUUCUGGCAUCUAUUAUUCCUAAUGUGCUGAUGACUUUCAGUAGUCAUCAGUGUUGGGAAUAAUACAGUUACUUUGAGAAAAUUAGAGUGUUUGAAGCAGGCUUAUUGCCUUGAAUACUGCAGCAUGGAAUAACAAUAUAGGAUUUCGGUUCUAUUUUGUUGGUUUCUAGGACUGAAAUAAUGGUUAAUAGGGACAGUUGGGGGCAUUCGUAUUUAACUGUCAGAGGUGAAAUUCUUAGAUUUGUUAAAGACGAACUACUGCGAAAGCAUUUGCCAAGGAUGUUUUCAUUAAUCAAGAACGAAAGUUAGGGGCUCGAAGACGAU
rnacentral:rRNA from 1 species